ACCAAUUUUAGCUCUCACUAAUCCAAUGUAUACUCUCUCUCCCUCCAUGUAUGUAUGUAUGUGUGUGUGUGUGUAUAUAUAUAUAUAUACACACACACACAUACAUACAUGGAGGGAGAGAGAGUAUACAUUGGAUUAGUGAGAGCUAAAAUUGG
rnacentral:miRNA from 1 species